rnacentral:rRNA from 1 species
UACGUAGGGUCCGAGCGUUGUCCGGAAUUAUUGGGCGUAAAGGGCGCGUAGGCGGCCAGCACAAGUCAGUUGUGAAAUCUCCGGGCUUAACUCGGAAAGGUCAACUGAUACUGUGCGGCUAGAGUGCAGAAGGGGCAACUGGAAUUCUCGGUGUAGCGGUGAAAUGCGCAGAUAUCAGGAGGAACACCGGUGGCGAAGGCGGAUCUCUGGGCCUUACCUGACGCUGAGGCGCGAAAGCUAGGGGAGCGAACAGG